AUGUUACCUGGUUCGAAUAUCGUAAUGGUGCUGCCAUCCCAGGUGUCAAAGAUCGUAAUACCGUUCUUAACCACUUCUUUGAUGCCCCAAUUAGAGCUCGUUCAAUUGCCAUCCACC